GAUGAACGCUGGCGGCGUGCUUAACACAUGCAAGUCGAACGGAAAGGCUCCUGCUUGCAGGGGUACUCGAGUGGCGAACGGGUGAGUAACACGUGGGUGAUCUGCCCUGCACUUCGGGAUAAGCCUGGGAAACUGGGUCUAAUACCGGAUAGGACCACAUCUUGGAUGGUGUGGUGGAAAGUUUUUCGGUGUGGGAUGAGCUCGCGGCCUAUCAGCUUGUUGGUGGGGUAAUGGCCUACCAAGGCGUCGACGGGUAGCCGGCCUGAGAUGGUGUACGGCCACAUUGGGACUGAGAUACGGCCCAGACUCCUACGGGAGGAAGCAGUGGGGAAUAUUGCACAAUGGGCGCAAGCCUGAUGCAGCGACGCCGCGUGGGGGAUGACGGCCUUCGGGUUGUAAACGCCUUUCGCUAGGGACGAAGCGCAAGUGACGGUACCUGGAGAAGAAGCACCGGCUAACUACGUG
rnacentral:rRNA from 1 species